AAGAUAUUCUAAACCUGGGAUAGACAUUUUUCUUAAAUCACUGGUGCAAUAUGGGUAUCAAAUUGAUUCCAAAGCCAGAGAUACAGCAACUAACAAAAGUGGGAUGCAUCUACUAACUGCUAUGACUCCUGCCAAACUGGGGAAAAGAGCUCACAAUAAUAAAAGGUAGAAGAUUUGAAUGGAUUUCAGGAAAACAAUGGAAGUAAGGCAACAGGCAAAGUGAAUAAAUGACAUAAAAAGUCAAAAAGAUUGAUUCUGGAGAUCCCUGCCUUGGUUUGGAGGAGACUUUUCCCCUGGAUUCAACAUCAGCUUGCUGCAUUGGUGGAAUUCUGGCUGAAGACACAACUAGAACUUCUGGUGGAAGAAUCACAAUUUAUACCUGGAGAAGAUGCACUGUGCUCUGCCUAUACUAUCUAGCUGAUGAAGUUAAUGGGAGUUUGGCUCACUGAGAAUGACAGACUUUUACCUGGGGGGUGGAAAGAAAAUCAAAUAUGACAAAAGUGGACAAUAGCAAUUAUUGGAAGAGAUGAGAGAGAGCAGAUACAGUAAAGCAUUGUUUGUUGACUUGUGAACAGGAACGGCCUCUCUAAAAAGCAAUUUGUAACUAAACCUCAAAAGUAACUAAUUUGUAUGUACUGUUUGAUUUGGUGAUACUACUACUAGAUCUGUAUUACAAAGAAAGAGAAAAUAUAUACAUAUUUCAUUUUCUUCAUAUUUAUACUUUUUGUUAUAG
rnacentral:lncRNA from 1 species